AUUGAACGCUGGCGGCAGGCCUAACACCUGCAAGUCGAGCGAGCGGCGGACGGGUGAGUAAUGUCUGGGAAACUGCCUGAUGGAGGGGGCUAACUACGGGAAACGGUAGCUAAUCCCGCAUACCCUCAAAUGUGCCCAGAUGGGAUUAGCUAGUAGGUGGGGUAACGGCUCACCUAGGCGACGAUCCCUAGCGGGUCUGAGAGGAUGACCAGCCACACUGGAAGUGAGACACGGUCCAGACGCCUACGGGAGGCAGCAGUGGGGAAUAUUGCACAAUGUGCGCAAGCCUGAUGCAGCAAUGCCGCGUGUGUGAAGAAGGCCUUCGGGUUUUAAAGCACUUUCAGCGGGGAGGCGUUACCCGCAGAAGAAGCACCGGCUAACUCCGUGCCAGCAGCCGCGGUAAUUC
rnacentral:rRNA from 1 species